rnacentral:rRNA from 1 species
UACGUAGGUGGCGAGCGUUGCCCGGAUUUACUGGGCGUAAAGAGCGCGCAGGCGGUCGUUCAAGUCGCGUGUGAAAGCCCCGGCUCAACUGGGGAGGGUCACGCGAUACUGAUCGACUCGAAGGCAGGAGAGGGUAAUGGAAUUCCCGGUGUAGUGGUGAAAUGCGUAGAUAUCGGGAGGAACACCAGUGGCGAAGGCGACUACCUGGCCUGUUCUUGACGCUGAGGCGCGAAAGCUAGGGAGCAACAGGGG